rnacentral:rRNA from 1 species
GUCAAAAAAAGGAAGGCUCACGGUGGAGACCUAGGCUCUCAGAGACGAUGAAGGGCGCGAUACCGGCGAUACAGCUUUGGGGAGCUGGAAAAAAGCAUUGAUCCAAAGAUUCCCGAAUAGGGCAACCUCUAGAACUUCCUAUGAAUUCAUAAAUAGGAAAGAGGCAACCUGGUGAACUGAAACAUCUCAGUAGCCAGAGGAAAAGAAAGCAAAAGCGAUUCCCGUAGUAGCGGCGAGCGAACUGGGAACAGCCUAAACCAAUUUCAAUUGGGGUUGUGGGAACACAUUAUUUUUACUUUAUUUUUGAUUUUUGGAGCUCCUUUUUAAUCGGUUGAGAAGCUAGCUUCUCAACCGAUCCAAAAACCAAAAGGACGCUCAAAAAAGAGUAAAAAAACUCGAAAAAAGAGUUUAGUUUUAAAAGUUUGACUUUUAAGACACUUUUUAAGCCGUUUUUGAAUCGGUUGAGAAGCUAGCUUCUCAACUUAGGCUUUAACGAAGUUAAAGCCUUAGAGAUUCAAAAGUGCUUAAAAAACAAAAAACGGCUAAAAAAUGAGACGAAGCAGCUGAAUCCUGCACCAUAGAUGGUGAAAGUCCAGUAGUCAAGUUUUUUUUUUCGAAAUGUCUAUCCCGAGUAGCAUGGGGCACGUGGAAUCCCGUGUGAAUCUGCGAGGACCACCUCGUAAGGCUAAAUACUCCUGAGAGACCGAUAGCGAAAUAGUACAGCGAUGGAAAGGUGAAAAGAACCCCUGUAGGGGAGUGAAAUAGAACAUGAAAUCGUGAGCUGACAAGCAGUGGGAGGAUUUGUAAAUCUGACCGCGUGCCUGUUGAAGAAUGAGCCGGCGACUUAUAGGGAGUGGCGGGUUAAAGAGUAAUAUCUGGAGCCCAAGCGAAAGCGAGUCUGAAUAGGGCGAAAGUCACUUCUUAUGGACCCGAACCUGGAUGAUCUAACCAUGAGCAGGAUGAAGUUUAGGUAACACUGAAUGAAGGACCGGACCCACCGAUGUUGAAAAAUCGGGGGAUGACUUGUGGUUAGCGGAGAAAUUCCAAUCGAAUUCAGAGCUAGCUGGUUCUCCCCGAAAUGCGUUGAGGCGCAGCGGCAAUGAUGGGCGAUCUAAGGGUAGAGCGACUGUUUCGGUGCGGGCUGCGAAAGCGGUACCAAGUCGUGGCAAACUCCGAAUAUUAGAUUUGCUUUCCAUAUGCCAGUGAGAUAGUGGGGGAUAAGCUUCAUUAUCAAGAGGGAAACAGCCCAGAUCACCAGCUAAGGCCCCUAAAUGGCUCCUAAGUGGAAAAGGAUGUGGGGAUGCAGAAACAACCAGGAAAUUCGCUUAGAAGCAGCUAAUUUUUAAAGAGUGCGUAAUAGCUCACUGGUAAAGCGUACCUGCGCCGACAAUGGCCGGGACUAAGGAGCCUGCCGAAGCUGUGAGAUUUGUUUUUAUUAAAACGAAUCGGUAGGGGAGCGUUCUGCAUCGGGUGAAGCUUUAACGUAAGUUUGAGUGGACGAUGCGGAAGUGAGAAUGUCGGCUUGAGUAACGAAAACAUUGGUGAGAAUCCAAUGCCCCGAAAACCUAAGGGUUCCUCUACAAGGUUCGUCCGUGGGGGGUGAGUCAGGACCUAAGGCGAGGCCGACAGGCGUAGUCGAUGGCAAACAGGUUAAUAUUCCUGUACUUUUUUGUUUGGGAACCGAGGGACGAAGGAGGCUAAAUUGAGUCUGUGAAUGGAAUGCAGUGGAAGCGUCCAAGGCUUCUUUUGAAACCAGAUCGAAGAAAAACGAUUUUGGUGCUGAGGCGUGAUCCCGCUCUCCUGAACUUGUUUGGGUUGGGCGUCAAUGAUGUCAUACUUCCGAGAAAAGCUCGUACACCAUCUCUUUUAGAGAUAAAACAUGCAAAAAACCUGUACCUGAAACCGACACAGGUAGGUAGGUAGAGAAUACCAAGGGGCGCAAGAGAACUCUCUCUAAGGAACUCGGCAAACUGGCCCCGUAACUUCGGAAGAAGGGGCGCCCUUGAGAAAUUAAGGGUCGCAGUGACCAGGUUCAGGCGACUGUUUAUCAAAAACACAGGUCUCCGCAAAGUCGUAAGACAAUAUAUGGGGGCUGACGCCUGCCCAGUGCCGGAAGGUGAAGGAAGUUGGUUAUUUUGCUUGCCAAAAGAAGCUGACGACCGAAGCCCCGGUGAACGGCAGCUGUAACUAUGACAGUUCUAAGGUAGCGAAAUUCAUUGUCGAGUAAGUUUCGACCUGCACGAAAGGCGUAACGAUCUGAACGCUGUCUCAGAGAGAGACUUGGUGAAAUAGACUUGUCCGUGAAGAUGCGGACUAAUAACACUUGGACAGAAAGACCCUAUGAAGCUUGACUGUAUCCUGGAAUUGGGUUCGGGCUUUUCUUGCGCAGUCUAGGUGGGAGGCAUUGAAGAUUUCCUUCCGGGGAAGUUGGAGCCAUCAGUGAGAGACCACUCUGGAGAGGCUAGAAUCCUAAUGGUGAUCCUUGAAUCAGGACACUUGACGUUUUCAGGUGGGCAGUUUGUUUGGGGCGAACGCCUCAUAAAAGGUAACUGAGGCGCGCAAAGGUUCCCUCAGUCUGGACGGAAAUCAGACUAAGAGUGUAAAGGCAAAAGGGAGCUUGACUGUAAGACCUACAAGUCGAGCAGGGGCGAAAGCCGGCCUUAGUGAUCCGACGGUGCCGUGUGGAAGGGCCGUCGCUCAACGGAUAAAAGUUACUCUAGGGAUAACAGGCUGAUCUUCUCCAAGAGUUCAUAUCGACGAGAAGGUUUGGCACCUCGAUGUCGGCUCAUCACAUCCUGGGGCUGUAGUAGGUCCCAAGGGUUGGGCUGUUCGCCCAUUAAAGUGGUACGUGAGCUGGGUUCAAAACGUCGUAAGACAGUUUGGUCCAUAUCCGGUGUUAUCGUUAGAGCAUUGAGAGGACCCAUCCCUAGUACGAGAGGAUUGGGAUGGUCGUGCCUAUGGUGUAUCAGUUCUUUCUCCAGAAGGAAACGCUGAGUAGCUACGCACGGUUUAGAUAACCGCUGAAAGCAUCUAAGUGGGAAGCUUUCCUCAAGAUGAGUGCUCUCCAUUAUGCCACAGCUAGACAAGCUGAUUAAUAGGUAUCAGGUAAAAGAUCAGUAAUGAUUUCAGCCGAGAUAUACUAAAGGCCGAUUGAUUUUGAC